AUGAAGAUCCCACUCUCCUUAUUCCUGCUACUAAUCAGCCUCAUAGGUAUUCAGUGUCAGAGUCUUGAGUCUAUUCCCACUGGUUCAAUGGUGAAAAAACCUGGAGAAACUCUGAGUCUUUCCUGUAAAGGAUCUGGGUUUGACUUUGGUAACUCUGGCAUGCAUUGGAUCAGACAACAAGCUGGAAAAGCUCUAGAAUGGAUUGGGGUUAUCUGGUAUGAUUCCAGUAAAACAAUAUACGCCAAAGACAUUGAGGGACGUUUGGAAAUUACCAGAGACAACUCUAAAAACAUGGUGUAUCUGCAGCUGACUGGUUUGAGUGCCCAGGAUUCUGCUGUUUAUUACUGUGCUAGAUACCACAGUGGUGCACCUGAUGCAGGGAUGGCAAUAACUCUUACCGCUCCCUUGAACAAAGAGGGGAGGGUGUGUCUGUACACAGCCCAAAACUGCAGGGAGUCCUGUCCUGGAGGACAGUCUCAUCCUGGAGUAGUUUCUCUGAGUCCUGCCAUACGAAAUCAGGAUAUGGGUAAAGGAACGGGAGCCGAGAACUGGGCUAGCUGCUGCAAAACUCGCCCAGCAGUAUCGGAACGCUCACCAAGAGGGUCGUCAUUUCCAACCAACGAAAGGUGA